AUUGAACGCUGGCGGCAGGCCUAACACAUGCAAGUCGAGCGAGCGGCGGACGGGUGAGUAAUGUAUGGGGACUGCCCUAUAGAGGGGGAUAACUACUGGAAACGGUGGCUAAUACCGCAUACUAUCGGAUAACCCAUAUGGGAUUAGCUAGUAGGUGGGGUAAAGGCUCACCUAGGCGACGAUCUCUAGCUGGUCUGAGAGGAUGAUCUGCCACACGGGGACGGAGACACGGCCCAUACUCCUACGGAGGCAGCAGUGGGGAAGAUGGCACAAUGGGGGCAAGCAUGAUGCAGACAUGCCGCGUGUAUGAAGAAGGCAUUAGGGUUGUAAAGUAAUUGCAGCGGGGAGGCGUUACCCGCAGAAGAAGCACCGGCUAACUCCGUGCCAGCAGCCGCGGUAAUUC
rnacentral:rRNA from 1 species